UACGUAGGGUGCAAGCGUUGCCCGGAUUUAUUGGGCGUAAAGGGCUCGUAGGCGGUCUGUCGCGUCGGGAGUGAAAACUCAGGGCUUAACCCUGAGCCUGCUUCCGAUACGGGCAGACUAGAGGUAUGCAGGGGAGAACGGAAUUCCUGGUGUAGCGGUGGAAUGCGCAGAUAUCAGGAGGAACACCGGUGGCGAAGGCGGUUCUCUGGGCAUUACCUGACGCUGAGGAGCGAAAGUGUGGGGAGCGAACAGG
rnacentral:rRNA from 1 species